UUUCCGUAGGUGAACCUGCGGAAGGAUCAUUAAUGAGUUGUCAUGGGGUUCGAUGCUGGCAGCCAGUUUUUGGAUGCAUGUGCUUGCCCUAACAAUCAUCUUCUUCCAAACACCUGUGCACAUUUUUGAGGGAGUCUUGAGUUGGUUGCCGCUCUUGGGUGAUUUUCUCACAUUCCCUUAAAUCAUUAUACGCUAUUAACAAUGUUGAACGUGCUCUGUGCCGCAAUGCCAUUAAUAUAAUACAACUUUUAACAACGGAUCUCUUGGCUCUC
rnacentral:misc_RNA from 1 species